rnacentral:misc_RNA from 1 species
UUUCCGUAGGUGAACCUGCGGAAGGAUCAUUGAUGAUUACAUGGCCCUCGGGGUUGGCCUUAAAAACCCGACACACCCACACCUGUGAACCUGGCGUCCCUCGGGGCGUCCCUUUACACCGUAGCGUCUAGUCUUGAACGUGAAAAGACAGAAAUUGUAAACACAACUUUCAACAACGGAUCUCUUGGCUCUC